UAAGCGGAGGAAAAGAAACUAACAAGGAUUCCCCUAGUAACGGCGAGUGAAGCGGGAAAAGCUCAACUUUGUAAUCUGGCUGUUUCACAGUCCGAGUUGUAGUCUCGAGAAAUGAUAUCCGCGCCGGACCUUAGACAUGUCUGUUGGAAUACAGUGUCAAAGAGGGUGAGAAUCCCGUACAUACUAAGGACGACCGUGUGCAUUGUGAUACGUUUUCAAAGAGUCGAGUUGUUUGGGAAUGCAGCUCAAAUCAGGUGGUAAACUCCAUCUAAAGCUAAAUAUUGGCGAGAGACCGAUAGCGAACAAGUACCGUGAGGGAAAGAUGAAAAGCACUUUGGAAAGAGAAUGAAAUAGUAUGUGAAAUUGCUGGAAGGGAAACGUUUGAGGUUAGACUUGCUUUUGUGGUAUUCAGCCUUCGGGUGUAUUUGCCGCAUAAUGCAGGCCAGCAUCAGUUUGAGACGUUGUAAAAGGGUAGCGAGAACGUAGCUUGCUUGCAAGUGUUAUAGCUCACUACUGGAUGCAAAGCUUCAGACUGAGGAACGCAGCGCGCCGUAAGGUAAAGCUUUUAAGCUUAAAGCGCUUAGGAUGCUGGUAGAAUAGCCUUAACCGACCCGUCUUGAAACACG
rnacentral:rRNA from 1 species